rnacentral:rRNA from 1 species
AUUGAACGCUGGCGGCAGGCUUAACACAUGCAAGUCGAGCGGGGUGAUGGUGCUUGCACUAUCACUUAGCGGCGGACGGGUGAGUAAUGCUUAGGAAUCUGCCUAUUAGUGGGGGACAACAUCUCGAAAGGGAUGCUAAUACCGCGUACGUCCUACGGGAGAAAGCAGGGGAUCACUUGUGACCUUGCGCUAAUAGAUGAGCCUAAGUCGGAUUAGCUAGUUGGUGGGGUAAAGGCCUACCAAGGCGACGAUCUGUAGCGGGUCUGAGAGGAUGAUCCGCCACACUGGGACUGGGCCACGGCCCAGACUCCUACGGGAGGCAGCAGUGGGGAAUAUUGGACAAUGGGGGGAACCCUGAUCCAGCCAUGCCGCGUGUGUGAAGAAGGCCUUAUGGUUGUAAAGCACUUUAAGCGAGGAGGAGGCUCUUUUGGUUAAUACCCAAGAUGAGUGGACGUUACUCGCAGAAUAAGCACCGGCUAACUCUGUGCCAGCCGCCGCCGUAA